GACGGAAGGUGCAAGCGUUGCCCGGAAUCACUGGGCGUAAAGGGUGCGUAGGCGGCCGUGCAAGUCUGGCGUGAAAGCCCCGGGCUCAGCCCGGGAAGUGCGCUCGAAACUGCGCGGCUCGAGUGCCGGAGGGGAGAGUGGAAUUCCUGGUGUAGCGGUGAAAUGCGUAGAUAUCAGGAGGAAUACCGGUGGCGAAAGCGGGUCUCUGGGCAGUAACUGACGCUGAGGAGCGAAAGCGUGGGGAGCGAACAGG
rnacentral:rRNA from 1 species